AAGUCGUAACAAGGUUUCCCGUAGGUGAACCUGCGGAAGGAUCAUUAAAUGAGAGAGGGUCUCCAGGCCCCAAAGCCUCCCCCCAUUGCAAACAAAGCCUGCUUGCUUUGGAUGGGUGACCGCCCAUCAGAGGACCUUGAAAUCCCGUCAUCUGUGGAGUCUGAGCAUGAUACAAUUAGUUAAAAUCU
rnacentral:misc_RNA from 1 species